rnacentral:tRNA from 2 species
AAAUCCCGUGGUUUUAUAGAUCG